CUCAUCGGCUCUCUGCAAUGAAGUUAACUUGGACGUGGAAGAGGGAACGACCGUAGCCCUCAUGUAUUCCCUUUGGCGCGUGCGUUCAUCUCGCAAGUCUAAGGAAUCUCAUUAGAGAGGAGAAUCUUAGCAGAGAGUGAGUUGAAUACUUAGCCUGACUACCCCAUUUCUAACCACAAAACAUUUGCGCUGCCUGCGGUCUCGAACUUCAACCACAUUCGAUCUAAAUAUCCCACAACCGAAAGCCAUGUCUGUCUCCUACGACACCCUCCAAUGUUCGCAUAGGACAUCAUCAUGACAAGAAUGUCGUUCGUCGUCGACAACAUAUUGUCAAUAUCAAUUACGGUUGGAAAAACCUGAAUUUAAUGACCUGGGUCUUUCACCUCCUCUGACAUGAGCGCCUCACCUUGGAUAACAUGUCAGUAUAGAAGUCCCUACUUUACUUUAGCUCUAUACACUGGAGACGUCUGGAAUGCUCCGGAGUGGCCGUGCUCCGCAUAUGUUUUCUAACAGAAGUAAAAAGGUAAUUAGCUCGUUUUAACUGUUGAUUGCAAACACGCCCUAGCGAGGCGCGUCGUGCGUGAGUGAGACUAUCUGUUGCAGGCCGAGGACUACUUCUCCUUCCCCUUCUUCAAACUCCGAUUCGUCUUUGCUUCCGCCCACUCCCCGCUUUAGUUCUCUCUAGAUUUCAAUUUCCCCCAAUUUCAAAUCCCAACUGGCCUUUGCUCUCAUCUCUCUCAAUUUCGAAGCUUUCAGAUCUCGAAUUUGAAACCCUAAUUUCUCCCAAACCUAUGGCUUCCGGCACCCCCGACCUCACCAAAACCCCUAAACGCCGCUCCAGCACAUCUCGAAAGGUCCGGCUCUUCGCGAAGAUCGGCAACGCCGCUGAUCCGGAUGCCGAGGUUUCCGGUGAGGUCUAGUGGAUCUCGGUGAACAAGCCCUUCGGAGAGCGUCACUCUCUCCUUCAGGGACCAAUCAGCAAGCCGUAAAGAGGCAUAUGAAUUGGACUAUUGCUAUGAACAAAAUGAGGAUAAUGGCCGAAUUUUUUCGCGAGAAGUACAGCCUUUGAUUCCAGGAAUUCUCGAGGGUUGUAAUGCCACUGUCAUUGCUUUGGGAGCUAGAGGUAGUGGAAAGACUAGCUUAAUCAGGGGUCGAGUGAGAAACCAGGUUCGGCGACACUGGCAAUCGAUGAAAUUAUCUCAAUGACUGAGAAAAACGGAUGUUCGAUUACUAUAUCCUCGUAUGAGGUGUAUUAGGACCAUAUUUAUGAUAUAUUGGCUCCAUCACGCCCAGAAGUUUUGGUACUGGGAGACACUGAAGGAAACAUUAGGCUUAAAGGACUUUCUCAGGUGCCUGUGAAUUCCAUGUCAGAAUUCAGCAAGCUGUUUGCUAGUGGGUAUGCUUCUCAUAAACCAGCUCCAAAAGGACCAGUUGAACUUUCUCGUAGGUGCCACAAGGGAUUGAUAGUCUAUGUAUCAUCUCAAAGAUAAAAUUCAGAUUCCCCUCAAAUCAGCAAGUUAAACUUUAUUGACUUAGCAGGUUGUAUAUCUUAUCCUCAAGCUUAUAAGUUUUUCAUAGUCUUGUGAUUCUCUUUAUUGUUUGUAGGUUUCUGCCCUAAAUGAGGCAGUUCUGGGCAGCGUCAAGUCUAUGUUCAAAGCUUGGGAGGAACCGCUGAAUACAUCUGGGAUGCAUGUACAUCUACAAAACCACCAGAGAACUCUUCCGAAUUAUAGCCUUCUUCCAUGCAUUACCCUUCAGUGAUGUAUAUAUGGGCUCCUUCUUUGGCUAUUCCCACUCCACCCCAAGCAUUAGAACCAGAUGAAGCCACAUACAGAGCAACAUGCCAUAUCCUCAUGAUAGAGCCUCCUCAUUGCAGUUGCGGCUCGAGCAAGAUCAUUGAAUACAGCCAAUGCAUUCUUGUCAUUCAACCAGACAAUGCACAAGACCAAUGCAUUUAUAUCUGCAUCUUCAAGAAGAUCUGGGAAAAGAACUACAAGUCUGGGAUCCAAGUUACAAGAUCAUACACAAUGAAGCUUUCAUUAGUUUGUAUAUAUAACUUUGGUUUCAAGUAUUGUUACUUCCAUAUUUUAAAAGUACUCCAUGAGCAAAGAACAAACAAUACAAUACGAAAGCAUUCGUGAUAAGAAAAAAAAAUUU